rnacentral:lncRNA from 1 species
UCUUAACUUUUAAGUGUAACCGUUCUCCGAAAUUCAAAAAACAAAUGAAAAGACUAAACAAAAAAAAAGACCUCAAAAGCUAACUUUAAUUACAAAAGAGCCACCAAAAGUAAAACCAAACCCUUGACGAAAAAAAAAAAAAAAGUAAAACCAAACCCACUUUCACUCAUCAUCAACCCCAACUUUUUCUUCAUCGCCACCACUCACCGCCGUAAAAGUCUCCGACAAUCUCGUCGAAUUCCGACAAAACCAAUUACCAAAACUCUCCCUUUCCUCCGCCGCCGCCACAACAAAAUGCCCUAAAUCUCCGACGACUUCAACCAAAUUCUCUUCACAUAGAAACUCUUCACUAUAAACUCUCUCAAUCUUUCUCCCAAACUCAUGUACAAAAACAUCAGUCUUCGUCUUCUUCCCAAAAUCUUUACUUUUUGCUAAAACCGCCGAAGUAAAGAUCGGAGCCAUCCUUCCCGGAGAAUCAGAAGCAUACCCACGAGGCCCAUCAAUCAAAAUCACAUCCCAAUCAAUCUCAUAAACAAAAUUAGGCAAAUCGUUAAUACCCAAUUUACAAUCAGAGAACAAAAGAUUCUGAACGGGUCGACAUUCGGGUCGGGUCUUGUAAUAACCAAGAAGCUUCCCAGCUUGAGAUACUUUAGUUGAGUAAACAACCUCAUAAGCUUCAACUCCAGGGUUACUCUGUUCGAACUUAGAAACAGAGUAAGGACUCUCAUCAACGAAAACCAUACGGCCUUGGAAGUUUAUAGAUCUCCAGAGAAGAGAUUCAUGAGUUAGUCCAAAGACUAAGAGGUUACAAGUUGGGCCAUGAGAGUGAAUGAUGGUGGAGAUGGUGGAGAGUUCAAGAAAGGACAUUGAUGUGUUUGGUGGUGAUGAGGAAGUGUAGUGGAGGAGUGCGGCGAGGACUGGUGGUGGAAGAGAGGAGGGAGGUGAGGAGAGAGAGUGAGAGGUUGUGGUGGAGUGGAUUGAGGAGGAGGAGAAGAGAGAGAAAGAGAAGAGGAGAGUGAAGAAAGAGAUGAAGAAGAUGAAUAAGAGGCGGUGGUGAUUCGCGGCGGCGACGGCGGAAGAUGAUUUUGAAGUUAGUGGAGAGUGGUGGUGGAAGAGAAUUAGAUUAGUGUUUGUGUUGCUCUUCAUUUUUUUUUGUUUUUCGAUAAAACAAAAAAUAGAAAUAAUUGAAACGAAAUGUGUGUUUUGUCGUCUCUUUAAGAAGGCUUUUAUAAACCGGUGAUGGUUUAGAGAAAGAGAUGUGUUGCUUUUGGUUUUUCUUUGGUUUGUUUCGGUUAUGGUUCAAGAACCGGUGGGUUUGAAAACUUUGUAACGGAUGUUAUUGUCAGCUGACAUAGUAACUGUUAGAACAUCUCCAUCUCCACCAGUUAAAAAAUCAUUAGAGUAUCUUAAUAAUAUUUUAAUAAAAUUAUUUACUAAACUAAAUUCAAAUUUAUUAAAAAAUUAAACCAAUCAAAAAUCAUAUCUUACUGAUAAAAACUAAAUUCAAAUUUAGUAAAAAAUUAAUAUUUUAUGGGUUCUUAAACAGUACCCAAAUAAAAGAAAAAAGAAACAAAGUCUAUCUAGAUGAAAGUUAAAGUAAUAAGAAUAAAUAAAUCAAUAAUUUUUUAUAAUAAUUUUUUUAUUAUAUGAUAUAAAUUUAAAUUUAAUAUAUAAAUAUUUAUAAAAUAAUAUAUAUAUAUAUAUAUAUAUAUAUAUAUAUAUAUAUAUCAAUAUUUGUAUUUGGUCUAAAUGGGGAUUUUAAGAACUUAUGUUUCCAUCACGUUUCGUUCUCAAUUGGGAAUACAAAGUUUGUCUCGUAUCAAAAAUUAUGUCCAUUCCCACUAAAAACAAAUUUAAAAUUUAGUUUAAGUGUAAAAUUUUCAUAAAUCUUUUAAAACAUGCGGUUCUGAUCACUGAAUGUUAAGAUUUCAUAAAUUUAAAUUCAACUCUUUGUUUUAUUCUAGAGAAAGAGUUGCUAGAGAAUCAGCGUUUCGUUAAAUUCAACUCUUUGAUUUUUCACCAUAAAGCUAUUAUUCUUUAAUGUUUCUAAAGAUUUUUGAUUUGAGAAGGCUUAUUUGUAUGUGCUCAAUCAUAUCUUGAGUUUCUCUUUUGUAUCAUACAUUGGCAGCAACAGGAUUGUUCACUGUGGUGACAUCCUCUCGAUCUUUGUACCACAAUGUUGGAUGUUUUUUUCCGUCGAUCUUCUUCUUAUCAAUUAGUAGGUCUGGUUUGUCUGCUAUGUACUUUUUCUGUAGAAUUGGUUCUUCAUGGAAAAUCGUUGGGUAAUAAACCAUUUCGUUGACUCCUCAUGAAGAUAGUUUUGUUGUUGAUGUAACUAAUGACUGCACCUGUAAUAGCUAAGAAUGGUUGUCCAAAAAUUAGCGGUCUCUAAAGUGCUUUUUCGUUUCUAUGACAUGAAAAUCAGUUGGAACGAUAUAGUUUCGCACCAUGAGUUAUAGAUUUUUACUUUACCUCUUGGUAUCUUCCGAGAUGAGUCUCCAAAGAUUACUUACAUGUGAAGACGUGAUGAUGCCUUUAAUUCUAAGUUUUCGACUAGGUUUAUUGACAUUAGUUCCAAAGUCACACGUAGAAAUGGUUGACAAACAAAAUAGUGAAGAAUCUAAAUGUUAAAAAUGAAUUAAUGGUAUUAGAUGAUUUCAUAUUCAAAAAUGUUUAAUUUAGGCUACCUAUUUUUAGAAGUCUCAAAAUGGGUCAAAUUUUAUUGGUCUAUCCAAUCUGAUCCAACUCAUCAACGCUAAUGAUUUUACUAUUUGGAUCCUAAUGAAUUGAUGGGUCAAUGAGUUUGUUGGGUUAUAUAGGUUGGGUUGUAAUUGUUUAUGGUUAACUAUAAACUCAUUGAAUUAUGAUACUCAACAUCAUCAUUAUCUCCAUACUAUUAUCAUCAUAUUAUCAUUGCCAUAUCAUCAUCAUCAUACAUACUUUUGCUGCAAAAAAACACAACUCAAUAAAAAAUUUCGCCAAUAACACGGUUUCACAAUUUUUCCAUUAAAACACUGUUUCACAAUUUUUCCACCAAAAAUGUGAGUCUACAUUUUCCAUCAAAAACAUAGUUUCUCGCCUAAAACUAGGUUUUACAAUUUUUUUCGGCAAAAACGUGUUUCUGCAAUUUUUUCCCACCAAAAAUACGGUUUAACAAUUUUUUCGCCAAAAAACGCGAGUCAAAUAUUUUUUCUUUGAAAACACGGUUUCACAAUUUUCUCGUCUAAAACAUGAAUCCAUAUUUUAUAUCAUUGAUAAAUGAUGGAAAAAUGAUUAUAUAUGAAUAAUUAUUAAUUGUUAUUUUAAUUAAUUAUUUAUCAAUUAAUUGAUUGUUUUAUUUUGAUGGGUCAACUCAUUUAACUACAAAUCAUCAAAUUGAUUGAGUUUAUGGAUAGAUUUUUUCCAUUUAAUAAAUAAAUUGGGCAACUCAUAAACAAUUUAAGUGUAACCUCACUGGUUAUAGGUUGGUUUAUCCAUUUUGACAUCCUAAAUAUCUCUUAUAGUUUUGAUUUAAAGUAAUCUAAUUUACAAAAAGUCCUAAAAAUAUUUCUAUGGUACAAAGAAAAACAAUAUCCCUUGAGACCGGAAGUAAAAGAGGUAUAUAUUUUAAAUCGGAAUUAUAAAAUAGAUAACUUAAAUUAGGUAUGUUGAAUCUGUGAUCAUUUAGCUUCCACCAAUAAGUAUAUAUUGUUAUAAUACAUCAAUAUUGGACUUAUAACCGGGUCCAAUAAGCCCAUCAGGGUUAUUCAUUAUGUAUUCUAAAACCCUAGGUUUAUAUGCCUAUAUAUAUGUAUCAUUAUUCAUGGAAUGAGAAGAUACAACCAUAAGUUUCACAACACGUUAUCAGCAUGAGUUUGCUUUUAUCAACCCUAACCCUAAAAAUCGUAAAACACUGUUCACGUCGACACUGUUCAUCGGCACUGUUCACGUCGACACUUUUCAUCGGCACUGUUCAUCGGUACUGCUCAUCGAUACUGUUCAUAGACACUGUUCAUCCCAGCGUGAGUUACUGAGGUCUUAAGCUCCCGGUUCAAUCCGUUCAACCCCAAUUGGUGAAAGGUAAAAACGAAACCUUAAAAGCUUAAAGACCAAAAAUCGAACUUGAACCUAAUGCAAAGCGAAAUCUUAAAAACGGAUAAUGAUUGAUUAAGUGAUUGCUUUUGCUUGUAUGAUUCUAUUGCUUGACUCGUUUAAGUUGUUAGAAAAGUUAUUGCUUAAACCUAAAUCUCAAACUCGAAAACACUAGGCCAUGGCUGAAACCUUAAAACCUAAAUCAAAUCAAAUCCGAAAUCCCUAAAAUAUAAAUCGAUUGAUUGAGGUUGUUUAGGUUGUUUAUAUUGAUUAUUUCUAUGAUUGAUUGCAUGCAUAAAUUGAUAGAAAUCAAAACCUAAAAUCGCAUGAACCCUAAAAACGUUUUUGCGUUUGAAAACCGCAAAAUUAAAAUCGUUUUCGAACUACAAGAAAACCUGCAAUUUGGGACUCUUUGUUGUGACUAUUUUUAUGGUCGCAAAAAAGCACGACUACUUUGUGUCUGUUUUGCGACUGUUAAACAACUACAAACGAAACAGAUGGAAACUGGUCGCUUAUUAGCGACGGAAAUAAGUAGUCGGAAAAAAGUCUUAAUUAAGCGACUACUAUCCGACCUUUUACCGAUUCAAUAUUUUUGGUCGCAACAAGGUCGCACUUUGAGACCACUUAGCGACUUGUUAUCUAUAGAACUCUUUUUUUUUACAAUUUGACUAAAGGUCACAAAACGGUCACAAAUUUUGCAACAUAUUUGCGACGAACAAAGAUAAUCGAUCACAUUUAUCUGAGAUUUAGCGACCACUUUGUUACAUAUUAACAACUCUCGAUAUUAAACAUUCGAAAUAUCAGAUUUGAGGUUUGUGACCAUAAUCCGACAUAUUGUGUGACCAUUGUACGACUGAUGUUGUGACCCUUUCGCGUCUAGCACCUGAGAUUAGUGACUAUUUUGCUACAUAUUACCAACACUCGAUAUUUUCAAUUCGAAAUUUGUGAAUUGAGGUUUGUUUACAUGUUUUCUUAUAUAUUACUACUUUGAUUUUAUUGAAGUUAGUUAGAAAAGACUUAACCAACCUCUUGAAAUUCAAUGUUUACAAUCCAUGCAUUCAAAAGUUCCAAAUCCAUAUGAACUAAGCAUGUCUCUUUAUGAACAUAAUAGGGAAUUUUGUAAAAUUUCUAAAAUAAGUUAAGAAUGUCAGGUUUGAUCAACCUAACACUUAUAUAUGUACUCUAUGCUACUAAAGUGAGUGUUUACUAGUGAUUUCUAUCAGUAUAGUGAAUCAAAUCCAAAACUUUUGUAUUUUUCUAUAGUGACUACUCAUUAUCUGUCUCAACUUAGUCACACUUUGCGACUAGUUUGUGACAUUUUCGCGGUUGUACCUAUAUUGUGACUAAAUUACGACAGGUUUUGUGACUAUUUGCCGACGAAUAUUGCAACGGUUUUGCGACUUUUGCGAUGUUUGUUAUAUUUUAAGAAAUUUUGCUAACUAUUUUGUGACCCUUUCGCGUCUAGCACCUGAGAUUAGCGACUAUUUUGCUACUGAUUACCAACGCUCGAUAUUUUCAAUUCAAAAUUUGUAAAUUGAAGUUUGUUUACAUGUUUUCUUAUAUGUUACUACUUUGAUUUUAUUGAAGUUAGUAAAAAAAGACUCAACCAACCUCUUGAAAUUCAAUGUUUACAAUCCAAACAUUCAAAAGUUCUAAAUCCAUAUGAACUCAUCAUGUUACUUUAUGAACAUGAUAGAGAAUUUUGUAAAAUUUAUAAAAUAUGUUGAGAAAGCCAGGUUUGACCAACCUAACACUUAUACAUGUAUUCUAUGCUACUAAAGUGAGUGUUUAUGAGUGAUUUCUAUCAAUAGAAUGAAUCAAAUCCAUAUAUUUUGAAUUUUUUGUGUUGUGACUUUUUAUUGUCUGUCUCAACUUAGUUACAGUUUGCGACUAUUGUGUGACAUUAUUGCGACCUGUACCUUUAUUGUGACUAAAUUACGACAAGUUUUGUGACCAUUUUCCGACGAUUAUUGCAACUGUUUUGCAACUUUUGUUAAAUCUUAUGAAAUUUUCCCUAAGUAUUUGGGCGCUUAAUUUUCCCCCCCAAAUAAUUGAUGUUGCGAUUGUUUUGCGACUAAAGAGCGACUCCUUUUCGUUAAUUACUAGGCAAAACACACACUCGACUUUUCACUUUCUUCAUUCUCUCUCGAUCUUCUUUCUCUCUCGAUCUAGGGUUUUUUCUCUCUAACUCUGCGAUUCUUCUUCUUCUCUCUCGAUCUAGGGUUUCAAUCUCUCUCUCCCUGAAUCGAUUCCUUCUCUUCUUCUCUUUCGCUUCAUUCUCAUCGUCUCAAAAAUGACCUCUCCGUCAGCCACAACCUGCGGCUCAAGCUUCACAACCAAUGUACCAGAAUCCCCAUCAUCAACCGCCGCCUCCUCUAAAUCCGGAGCAUCAACCGCCGCCUCAGGAGCCGAAUCGUUCUAAAAGUGUCACAUGACGGCUUGUUCGCUACUCAUCUACGUCGCCAUUGCUUGGUUGAAGAUGGUGCCGAUGUAGACGAUUCGAUCCCGAGUUCAGUUCUUUAAGAUCUUAGAUCUAAGUCUCGUUUUUUGUAUGUCGGUGGUCUUUGGAAACAUCUCUCUUUUCUUUCUUCCUGUUUCGUUUAACCAAGCGAUUGGUGCUUGGACGCCGUUUUUCACCGCCGUGUUUGCUUACCGGAUGAGGCUUAAGAGAGAGGCUUGGUUGACUUACUUCUCUCUUGUCCAUGUGGUCACCGGGGUCGUUAUUGCCAAUGGGGUAAUUACUCUUCUUUCAACUCUUAAAAUUGAAUCCUUUUAAGUAUGCAUUUUGUUUCUGGUUUUGAUCCAAUGAGAACGUAUUUUGAGUAUGUAUUGUUACGGCUGAUGAAAUCUUAGAGAGGUUGAUAUAAAUGUGAAUCCGGAGCAUGAACUAGAGCUAAAUCUGGUUCAUUUCAAUUUUUAUGUUGCCAUCAUAGGUAUAGUUUUGGAGCAAGUAACUAGAUAUUAUGAGCUGAAUAUGGUUGAUUCAGCUUCAUCUAAAGACUCUUACCAUCACUUAAACAUGUAUAACCUAAUCUUCAGUGAAUUCAGCAAUCACAAUUAUACUAUGGUGACAAUCUCUGAAAUCUUGAAGAACAAUGGACUGGCAACAGAGAAGAGUAAGUAAAAUCUCUUUUCUUAUCAUCAACGUUUAUCUACUCGUCAAAUCAUAAUUUCAAGAAUUUGGGUCAUCUUUGUUAUGUGUUUAAAACAUGGGUGUGUUAACAUCGAGACCAAAGGAAGGAUGGUCCAGAAGGCUAAAGCAAAUUUCCUUUUAAUAAUUAGUGACUUUGGACCUUCCAGUAGUUUGUUUACUUAAUUAACAAAAGAUGCACUAAGUCAUUGUUUCUUACUUGGUUAUGUGGUUGGCCUACAGAUGUUCAUUGGGUUGUGUCAGGAUAUACAAAAGUAAGUUCUUUUGCUUUUUUAUGCAUUCGUAAAAGUUAGGAAUUAGAAUCAGCUCAAAGUCAUUUAGCUGAAAGAGAUUGUGACUUCACUAGAUAUGCAUUGUAUAAGGAACACACAUGUCACACGGAAUUAAUAUAAAAAUUUUUCCUAAAGAGGUCUAAUAUUGUAUGCUUCAUGAAUGGUUCUGUCUCUUAAAUGACUAAGAUUAUUCAACAGUUUUGAUGUAUUGCUUGAUCAGCUCUUGAUUGUCUUCACUUUGGUAAUAAGCUUUUUUGUUUUGUACAGUUGGAGACCUUAAUCAUCUCAUCUCUCCAACCAUAACUGAUGUAGUUCUUGGAGACCUUAAUCAACUUGAACAUUGGCAGAGGAACAAGAGAACGCUGCUAGUAAGGCUUCAAGAAGUUCGUCACUUUCCUUCACCACUGAAAGUUGAUUGUUUUUACUCUUUUAAGCUAGCUCACUUCAAGAAAUUCGACUCUAUCUAUAUUAGUUUUAUUUUGUUUUUAGACUUAGGCAUCACUUAUGAUAUUAGUAUAAGACUUGGUAUGAUAUUAUGUAAACUUGUAAACUAGUCUUUUAUUUGCUUAUGUUUUUGUACUCUAUAAUACUUUGUUAGGAUGGUUUUUAUUAGUGUUUUUGAAUGAUUGAUUAUUUGCAUUUGAAUGAAGUAUUGCAGGUUUGGGAUUAUUUGCAUUAAAGCGAAUUUGCAGGUUUGGGAUUAUUAACGUGUAACCAAUAUGUGACCAAACUAAUUAACAAAUGUGACCAAUGUGUGACUACACAUUAUUACAAGAAACUCCAAAUCUAGUAUCAAAAUGGUUACUAAUAGAAGACUCUUUUGCUACACAACAAUGAGAGUCUUAAUUGGUCGCAAACAAUUAAGACUCUUUUGCGACUAAAUUGGUACUAAAAGAUAUAUCGUCUGCGACUAAUGUGGGACUAAAUAUUCGAUCCAAGAACUCUUUCGUUUGAACCGAACAAGUCGCAAACUAGUUGCUAACUUACGUUAGUCGCUCUUUAGUCGGAAAUAUACAACGACAUUAACCCGUCACAGAUUAGUCGUUAAUAUGCGACGCUACAAUUUAUGUUGGAAAAGAGUCGCAAAUUAGCGACUAUCUUGGGACUGGAAAAAUUUGCGACCGUUUUUUAGCAACUAUCUUAGUUAGUCGUGAAAGAGUCGCAAAACCCUAUUUUGCGACCGUUUUGCAACCAAUAUGGGGGUCGCAAAUGUCGUGUUUUCUUGUAGUGUUCCUCAAAGAGAAACGAAAACCCUAAUGCGUUUUAUUCAAACGUUUUCAACCGCAUGUCUACAAUCGCGAAUUCAAAUCGUUCUCAUCAUUGAAACAUAAACCCUAAUACCGAUUGAAACCUAGCGGCUCAACCGCUUACUUUUGUAAAAUCGCGGCUCAACCGCUUCUAUGUCCAAAACCACAAUUUUCGUGUAUCCCCUAAACCGGAAAUCAUUCUCGGUUAACUUCUAAACCCAAAUAUCAAUUCGGUUCAUCGGUUAAACCGAUUAUCAAACCGGUUCCGAAAAUAAUAACCGGAUCUCAAUCUGGGUAAGCCGGUUCAAACCGGUUAUUCUAAACCGGAAAUCAAUUCGGCCCAACCCCAACCAAAAAUCCCUAAACCGGAAUCUAAUAUUCCGGUUCAACUUUAAACCAUUAAACCGUAUCCUUAAAAUUUACGAUUCCCGAGAAAGUUUCCUAAAUUAGAAACUUUCCUCAAAUAGAAACUUUCCUCAUUUAGAAAGUUUCCCAAAUUAGAAACUUUCCUCAAAUAGCGAAUGACCCGGAAUGAAAACUUUCCUCAUUUAGAAAGUUUCCCGAAAUAGAAACUUUCCUCAUUUAGAAAGUUUCCCAAAUUAGAAACUUUCCUCAAAUAUAAAGUUUCCUCAAUUAGAAACCCCUAAAUAAAACCCCUAAUGAAAUCAAUUUCAUGUUUUCAGAUGACAAACAUUCAGAAAGUCGAGUUCGAGGCCCUCAAGGUCUCCGGUGAAAACUAUCUCGAAUGGGCCCUGGACACCAGGAUUUUCCUCAACUCAGAGGGACUGGGUGAGUGUAUCAAAGCGGAUAACACCGCAUCUGAUAAAGACCGGUCCCAGGCGAUAUUUCAUAUCCACCAUCAUUUGGCCGCGAGCCUCAAACAGCAAUAUCUCACUCUUGAGAACCCACUCGAACUUUGGUGGCCCUGAAAAAACGGUAUGAUCACCAGAAAACGGUGCUCUUGCCACAAGCCAAGUUUGACUGGAAGGAACUCCGGUUCCAAGAUUACAAAUCUGUGGAUGACUACAACUCCGAACUCUUUCGGAUAGUUUCAAUCAUGAAACUAUGUGGUGAAGAGGUAUCUGAUAAUGAUCUCCUCGAGAAAACAUUAUCCACCUUCCAUACCCAAAACAUUGUGCUUCAGCAGCAAUAUCGUGCAAUGAAACAUACAUUGUACGAAGAUUUGUUAUCUUGUUUGCUCUUCGCCGAGAAAAACAACGAGUUAUUAAUGAGGAACAGUGCCCAGAGGCCCUCGGGAUCGGCUCCAGUACCAGAUUCCCGCAAAGAAUCCUACAAUGUCCAGCGAGACAGAUCCUCAGAUCGUGGCCGUGGAAAUGGAAAUGGACGUGGAAAGCGUGGACGCGGAAAUGGACGUGGCAACCGACAUAACCUCGGUUAUGGUUCCGGUAAGGGCCGUGGUAUCUCUAAACCAAACCGCCCUGCCCACCCAACCAAUCAGUCUGCCUGCACCAGAUGUGGUCUGUUCAAUCACUGGACAAAGAACUGUCGUGCUCCCAAGUUUCAUUGCGAUUUGUAUCAGAAACAUGGGAAAGCACCUGCUGAAGCUAACAUGGCCCAGCAAGUUGAUGCUGACGACACCACCACCGAGCCGACCGAUCCCAUGGACUACGAGAUCUCAGAUCUCCUCGAUUGAUUCUAUCAUCUGAACACUUGCUUAUUUUGAUUUUGUUUUUUCAUUUUGGGGAUUUGUUUUAUUUUUCAUUUGCUAUUUAUUUUCAGAGCGGGUACCUCGAACUUAAUAGAAGGCCACGGCCAGGCCCAUGUGUUGUUAUCAAACGGCACACAUCUGAACAUUCCAGAUGCAUUAUACUCACCCAGCUCAAAAAGAAACUUUUUAAGUUUUAAAGAUAUCAGACUUAAUGGUUUCCACUUAGAAACUCAGGGUGAAGGGAACAAAGAAUCCCUACUGAUCACUAAGAUCACACUUGGCCAUAAACAAGUCCUCGAGACUAUACCCGCAUUAUCUACUGGCCUUUACUAUGCUAAGGUCAGUACGAUUGAGGCUAAUAAUGCUCUCAAAGCCCGGUUCCAAGACUACACUAUUUGGCACGACCGGCUUGGUCAUCCCGGUACAACCAUGAUGCGUAAAUUAAUCCAAAAUUCUCAAGGACACACCAUUCGAGAAAACCGAGUCUUCCCUCAGCACCUCACGUGCAUAGCUUGCUCCCAAGGGAAGUUGAUCACUCGGCCUUCACCAGUAAAAGUGUCCAAAGAGACAUUACAUUUUCUGGAAAGAAUCCAAGGAGACAUCUGUGGUCCCAUUCACCCACCUUCUGAGACAUUCCGGUACUUCAUGGUACUAAUAGACACUUCGACCCGUUGGUCGUAUGUCUGCCUAUUGUCUUCUCGGAACCAAGCUUUUGCUAGGUUGUUGGCUCAAAUCAUCAGAUUACGAGCCCACUUUCCAGACUUCCCACUAAAGACUAUACGUCUUGAUAAUGCUGGUGAAUUCACUUUCCAAGCGUUUAAUGAUUACUGUAUGGCCAUGGGGGUGACCGUUGAACAUCCUGUGGCACAUGUCCAUACUCAGAAUGGACUUGCUGAAUCAUUCAUUAAACGAAUCCAAUGGAUUGCUCGACCAUUACUCAUGAGGUCGAAGCUCCCGGUCUCAGCUUGGGGACAUGCAGUAUUACAUGCUGCUGAAUUAAUACGCAUCCGACCAUCUAGUGAGCAUAGAUAUUCCCUAUCCCAAUUAUUAACGGGUCAUGAGCCAGACAUCUCCCAUCUUAAAACAUUUGGGUGCUCAGUCUAUGUACCCAUUGCUCCACCACAUAGAACCAAAAUGGGACCUCAAAGGAGGAUGGGAAUAUAUGUUGGUUUUGAUUCUCCCACCAUCAUCAAAUAUCUCGAGUCGACCACUAGAGACCUAUUUAAGGCCAGAUAUGCGGAUUGCCAAUUUGAUGAAUCGGUAUAUCCAACAUUGGGUGGAGAGAAACACAAGCUGGUCAAAGAGCUAUCAUGGAAUCAAACAUCCUUAAAUUGGCAAGAUCCUCGGACUCUAGAAUGUGAUUCAGAGAUCCAAAAGAUUAUACACUAUCAAAAGCUAGCUAAUUAAUUGCCAGAUUCCUUUGCUGACCCGAACAAAGUAACCAAAUCGUACAUACCAGCUUGUAAUGCACCAGUACGAAUCACUGUCCCAACGGGACAAGUUCAAGUUGCUACAGAGUCUGCAUCACAAAAUAAACGUGGCAGACCUCUAGGUUCCAAAGACAAGAAUCCACGGAAAUCAAAGAAAGGUGCAAUAGUUGAAACCGGGAUUCCCAAUAUAACAGACAUAGCGCGCGCUGAGACUCACUCUAAUGAACCACCAGAAGAGGUUCGGGACGCCGAAUCUCUAGGUUCUGACGAGAUCGAUAACGAUGAGAUCUCUAUCAAUUACAACAUGUCUGGAACCCAAAUGGAACAGAAAAGAAGUCGACUUAAAUGCACUCUUUGCAUACAAAGUAUCACUUGAUAUUGCGAACACGCAAGAGGAUCUAAAACCCACGUCUAUCACAGAGUGCACUCAUAGAACAGACUGGCUAAAAUGGAAAGAAGCCAUAAACGUGGAGUUAAAGAGUCUCAAACUCAGGAAUGUGUUUGGUCUGAUCAUCCGGACACCAUUCAAUGUCAAACCAGUGGGCCAUAAAUGGGUCUUUGUGCGUAAGAGAAACGAACUCGGUGAAGUUGUUCGUUAUAAAGCACGGCUUGUAGCACAAGGAUUCUCACAGAGACCUGGAAUCGAUUAUGAGGAGACUUAUUCUCCGGUGGUGGAUACAACUACUUUUCGAUUCCUCACAAGUCUGGCCAUAAGAGAAAAUCUAGAUUUGCGGUUAAUGGAUGUUGUCACCGCAUAUCUCUAUGGGCCCCUGGACAAUGAAAUAUACAUGAGAUUACCAGAUGGCAUAGAGCUUAAAGAUAAGCAUGCAUCUCGAGAUCAGUACUGCAUCAGGCUGAACAAAUCCUUGUAUGGACUGAAACAAAGUGGACGUAUGUGGUAUAACCGGUUAAGUGAAUAUCUCAUCAGAGAAGGCUACAAAAACGAUCCCAUCAGUCCAUGCAUUUUCAUCAAGAAAUACUCAAACAAAAGAUUUGUAAUCAUAGCAGUUUACGUGGAUGAUCUAAACAUCCUCGGAACAUCUGGUGAAAUCUCCCAAACAGUCGACUGCUUGAAAACAGAAUUCGAAAUGAAAGACCUAGGUAAAACUAAAUUCUGUUUGGGUUUACAACUUGAGUACGUCAAAGGAGGAAUCCUUGUGCAACAAUCGGCUUAUACUGAAAAAGUACUCAAGCGAUUCAACAUGGACCAGGCCCAUCCAUUGACCAGCCCAAUGGUUGUUCGGAGCCUAGGAUUGGACACUGAUCCACUCGGUCCCAAGAAGGACGAUGAAGAAAUUCUCGGUCCAGAAAAGCCAUACCUCAAUGCUGUAGGAGUGUUAAUGUACCUGGCUAGUCACACUAGACCAGACAUUUGCUUUGCCGUGAACCUCCUAGCUCGCUUCAGCUCAUGUCCAACUCAGAGGCACUGGAACGGUAUCAAACACCUCCUAAGAUACCUUCAAGGUACUAAAGACUUAGGACUGUUUUACACUAACCACAACAAGGAUGGACUAGUUGGUUUUGUUGAUGCAGGAUAUCUAUCGGAUCCGCACUGUGGUAAGUUACAGACUGGUUAUGUUUUCACGCAUGGAGGAACAACUAUCUCGUGGAGAUCUAUGAAGCAGACAAUCGCUGCAACCUCAUCAAACCAUGCAGAAAUUUUGGCCAUUCACGAAGCCAGCAGAGAAUGUGUUUGGCUACGAUCCAUGACUCAGCACAUCCGAUCAGAUUGUGGUAUGAAAGAAGAUAAGGAGCCCACGGUUAUGUUUGAAGACAACGCGGCUUGCAUUGCUCAACUCAAGGAAGCUUAUAUCAAAGGAGAUUGGACGAAGCACAUCCUACCGAAAUUCUUCUCAACCUCGGAUUGGCAGAAGGAUGGUACGAUCAGCGUUCAACAGGUCCGAUCAAGCGAGAACUCCGCCGACCUUUUCACCAAAUCAUUGCCCGCUUCAACACUCCGGAAGCUCAUCCAACAAAUAGGAAUGCGUAGACUUAGAGAUCUACGGUGAUGCUUUAAUCAGGGGGAGUAAUGCGUGUUGUACUCUUUUUCCUUCACCAUGGUUUUUCCCACUGGGUUUUCCUGGUAAGGUUUUAAUGAGGCAACAUUCCCCAGCGCAUUAUCGAGAUCCCGAUUGACCAUCAGGUCCGGUUACUCCGUCCAAGAGGGAGUGUUAUAAUACAUCAUAUUGGACUUAUAACCGGGCUCAAUAAAUCCAUUAGGGUUAUUCAUUAUGUAUUCUAAAACCCUAGGUUUAUAUGCUUAUAUAUAUGUAUCAUUAUUCAUGGAAUGAGAAGAUACAACCAUAAGUUCCACAACAUAUAUAGAUAUGUUUGAAUGGAAAAAACAUAUAGUACUUUCAUUUAAAAUUUGUGAAACAGCACCAAUUCACUUUUAUUAUUUAAGAUGAGGAAAUCGUUUCAACGCUCGUUCACCGUUCUAACUAUCUUCAUCAUUCUUGUAGCAGGUAUGUAUUUAGAUUAAAAUAGUUUUAUUAUAUUACAUAUAAUCUUUCUAAAAUAAACUAAUUAUUAUUAUCAUUUCUCUACCUAUCUUGGUUAGUUCUUUCAAAAAUUCAUUGUCGUUAUAUCUAUUCAUAAUUAUUGUGAUAUGAUUUCUUUGAAUAUAUCUACGCUUAUUCACUAUCAGUUUUUUUUCUCUGUUUUAAACCGCAUAAAUGAAUGUUUCAAGUCCCAUUUUUCAUAAAUAUUUAUGCGCUAUAAUUUUUAGUAUAAAUAUAAAUAAAUUUUUUAAUAAAAAUCUCAACGGAUAAGAAAAAGUAAUAUAGUUGUAAUACAUUCAAAAUAUCUAUUUUUUACAAAAAAAAAAUACUUUUUUCUUUUUAAUAUAAAAACACAAAAUUUAUGUUUUAAUAUAACGGUAUCAGGAAUGGUGAGUGCACAACCAAAACAAAAUUGUUCUACGCCUCUAAUUUUCGGAAGAAGGAAGGGAGAAUGUAUUGCAGGAAGUUGUGCUCUUUUGUGUGAGCUCAAGUAUAAAGGAAUGGGUAAAUGCAUCUCUCAAGGAAAAGGCAUGCAGUGCAAUUGCAGUUUUUCUUGCCAACGCCCUUAAUGUUUUUUUAUAAAAAGCAUUAAGAAAUAUCAUAUUCUUACAUAAUAUGCCUUAAAAUAAAGUUAUAAACCAUGUAAUUUAGUGGUUGGAUUAGUAUUACCAUUGUGUCACCAGUUACAUUCAAAUCACAAGAUUUGUAAUGUUGACAAAAGAUAAAAAUAAAUUAAUAUAUAAAGUAAUAAAACAUUUUUAUAUGGUUUGUGGUAUAGAUUUUUAUGCUAAUAUCUCCAUUGAAUUAUGAUGUGGAUUCAAAUUCAUAUAUUUAUGUGUAUAAGUUAUCUAUGACCAAAAUAUAAUAUGAUAUGAAUAUGCAAAAACUAUUCUUUUCGCAUUCAUAUCUUAACUUUAUAUUAAAAAUGAAAAUAAAACUAAAGCAGAUAAGUUGGUAUGCAUAGAAUUUUCUUUUUAUAUAUAUAUUUGGAGGACAUUGAGAGAGAAAAAGGAGUAUUUUUUUUCUUUUUUGAUAUAUCUUAUUUUUUUUUGAGGAGAUAAUAUUAAAGUGGAUAAGUUGGUAGGCAAAGUUCGUGUACAACCCGUUUUAUUUUAUAUGUAAACAAUAUUCCCCUAGCUUGACUCUUAUGAAUCAUCUAAGUAAUUUAAAAUUGACAAAAAAAUGUUUCGAGUAUACAUGAGAUUGAUAAGAACGUAGUCGUCCUAAGCAAAGACAAUAAAAAUUCCGAUAGAUAAAUUUGUGAUACAUAGAAUUUGAUGAUGUUUUCAAAUUCUAAUUGGAUAAGUGUUAUUGGCCAAAACUUAUAAGAUGCCAUAUAUAUAUAUAUAUAUUAUAUAAAUGAUGAUGAGAAACCGCUUUCAUCAUCAUAUAGAUGCUGACAUGGGUUAUUUGCAAAGGUUGACGUGUUAAAGUUUGAAAACUUACGUAACUAGUUUAGAAAAUUUGACGUGUGGUUCUAGUCUGGUGGAAGAGUGUUCUGUUGGUUUAGGGUAGGGAUCGAUUAUCCCCAGACACAGAAUUACUCAGCUUUAUCUCUUUGGUCACAUGGGUAUUGGGCUCAUUGUUUACGGCCUAUUUGCAAAUUUGGGGGGGGACCCUACCCGUGAGACACCCUCUCCCCAGGGAUUAGUCCUAGACCCCUCCAUAAGUCUGGGGAUUUACCCUGAGUUAUUAAAAAAAAAAAAAAUUGAUGUGUAUUAAUUUUAUUGAAAUCAAAAUGUGUUUACAAAAUACAGAAACGUUACAAUACAAUUGUUGAAACGCAUAUAUAGGAAAUCUAUAUAUAUAAUGAGAGAGUUUUCUCUCCAUCUAGAGUGUCCACAUAGGCGACACAUCAGCGUACACGUCAUCAUACAUUUUUAAUAGGUAUAAAAUGUUACCAAAAAGAUUCGAACCCCUUACCCAAUACAUUUAAUAGGUUCAUUUCAAACCAAAUUGCCAUUUAAAUCGUUUUGAUUGAUAUCAAAAUUUAAAUUAUAUAUAUGACUUUAUAAAACUCCCACUCAAUUUAUUUAUUAAACGAAGAAACAUUUAAAAAAAUUUCACAUACUUUUAUAUUAUCAUCUUUUAAUAAAAGAAAAUAUUUUUUCAUAAACAAUAACAUUGUUUAAUAUAAAUAAAAAGUAAUAUAAUAUAACACACAAAAAUAUGUGAAUAGAAGUUAAUAUACAAAUAGAUAAUUCAAAAAUAGAAGUUAAUGAAUUAAUAAAACACAGCACAAAAAUAUAUAAGAUAACAAUAUGAAUAAAAAUUAGAAGCAUAUAGAUAAUUUUCAAAUACAUAUAAUUUAUAUAUGAGAAGUAGAAAACAAAAAAAUAUGUUAUCACGCUAGAAAGACAUUAACCUUUUCAAGAGUUAUAAAAUAUUUAAAUUAAAAAAGUUUAUAUGAUAGUAAACUAUAGAAUUUAGAUUACACGAAAUAAGAAUAUCUAUUUUUCAAGAAAAAAGUAUGUAUCCAAAAUCAAGAUAAAAUAUAUAUAAAAUUGUAUAAUAUAUUUAAGGAAAGAAUUGUGAUUUAAAAGUACAAUUAGAUACAAGAUUUCUUUAAACAAUAACGUUAGAGUGCAAUGUUUCAUGGAAAAUGCAAUGUAUGAGAAUAGGAAGAAUCCAAAUAUAAAAUUUAAUAUGUAGGAAAAAGAACAUUUUAUAAUAGACAAGAAAAAAUAAAAUAUAAAAAUGAAAUAGAUAAAGAGAAUAUAAUUUUAAUAUAAGUUUAUAAUGAAUCAAAAAUUUAAUCAAUUAUUUUAACGAAAAGAACGUGAAAAGAGAUAAAAUGUCGCGAGGUGGACGACUGCAUAUUAGAAUAUGACGAAUAAAAUGACAGCGAAAUAAUUUCAAGAGAAAUUGACUAAAUUCAAAAAGAUGUAUGAACAUGACAUGGUCGAGAUUGUAUUAUAUUUCUCUGAAUUUUUUCAACUAAUUUUUUACCACGUGUUACCUAAAAAUUUGUUGGUUUUUUUCAAGAGAAACAUUAUUCUCAAUAAAAUCUAUGUUAUAUAUCAUUCAUAAUUAAAUAGGUUUAUGUCAUUAUAGAUUUAUCUUUUAAAAUUCAAUAUAUAUAUUUAUAUUCACGUCUUAUAUUGUUAAUAGUUUAUAAGUAAAAUCCCGCGUAUUGCGCGGGGUCACAAAUCUAGUAGAUAUAAUUUUGGAUGAAAGAGUAGAAGUCAAUCUUGUGGUAGACUUGUAGACAACAUAUGUAAUCUGUUAAGUCUCUCUUCGCACUUUUUUAUUGGUUGAGAGGCAAAUGAUAACCUUGGGAAGAAAAGAGCCCCACCAUCCCCAUAUAUUGUUAAUGAUUUUGGGAUAUCACUGUCAUCGGUUGAGUUUUUUGAGAAUAAGAGAGCACCGACCUCACCGGAAUUCCUCACCGGGAAGGAUCUAAUACGACUUUUGUUGAAAUAGUUUGGCCAUAGUUUCUUUACACUAAUUACAUAUAUGAAAUUAGAUCCACAUGGGUCCCAAAUCUGAGCUAGAUUGCCCUUACUUGAUGUUGAUGUAAGAUUUCAACAAACCGAUAUAAACAAGAGGUAAGGAGAAAAGGUGUUUUCUUUAUUAAUGAUUUUAGAUCGAAGCUCAAAGAGUACAGAGGAAAUUCUAACUCGUCGAAGUAACAAACUAGUUUUUUUAACGUAAAGAAUGAUAUAGCCUAGGUCUCUUUCCGAUUAUUAAAAGACCUAGGAUAAAGAAUGUUUCUGGGAUAUGGAUUUUUCAAACUCUGGACGUUGGAUAUGGAAAUGCAUUGGCAAGCUAAGGUCUUUAGCUAGGCCUUUCAUUGUGUGUAAGGUGGAAACAGGGAUAAGCUGCAGAUUCUGGACAGAUAAUAGGAUUAUAGAUGGGGAUUGGUGGAUCUCUUCCAAGGGAUGCGGUAGUGAUGGAUGCUAUUAGAGAUGGGGAUUGGUGGAUCUCUAGUAAUAGAAGCAGAAAUCCUACUAUCCGAUUAUUAAAAGACUGUCUUCCUUCACCUUCGGGUGUUGUUUCCCAAGUGGAGGAGGAUCUUGAUGACUGCUAUCUUUGGAAGGUGGGGGACAGUGAAGCUUCAGGGAUAUUCUCUUUUGCAAAGACUUGGCAUUUUCUACAUCCCCAAGGGGAAAAGAAGGACUGGUUUAAGGCAGUUUGGUUUAAAGGAAGGAUUCCCAAGCACGCCUUUAUUGCUUGGGUGAAUGCUCGUCACAGGUUAAACACUAGAGAUAGGCUAAUUGGUUGGGGUCUAGCUGUGCCUUCAGUGUGCCUUCUCUGCAAUACUCAAGAUGAAUCAAGGCAGCACCUAUUUUUCGAUUGUUGUUUUUCUGCAGAAGUGUGGUCUUUUUUCACAGCUAGGGCUGUUGUGUCUCCUCCAAAUCAUUUUGAGGAUGCAAUCCUUUGGCUGAAGACUCCUUCUAGGGAUAAGAACAUCUCUUUAGUUCUGAAACUUGCUUUCCAUGCUUCUGUUUAUCUCCUGUGGAAAGAACGCAACUCAAGACUUUACAACUCUUCCUCAAAGUCGGCCUCUGCUUUAAUCCUUGAAGCUAAAUCCAUCAUUCGUUGUCACCUUGACCCUCUCUCGAGAGCUCAGCGGUUUACUCCUCCAAAAAUAUCAUAUUUAGCUACUUGGUUAGGACUCUUCCAACCUUAAUGUGCUCUUGUGUUGUCUUUAUGUUUAUUUGCUUCAGGUGUUACUCAUAUAUGAGGCACUCUUGUUGAUGUCAAGUGUUCUUGGCUUUGUUUUAUGAAUGGGUAAGCUUUUUGUUUUUUAAAAAGAUAAGAAAAAAAAAAAAAAAAGCCUAGGUCUCUUUCGUAAGUUGAGGAUGGCUUGUUUUGAUUGAAGACUCUUUGUUUAUGCAAAGGGGUGGUUGGUUUGCGAUAUGGACUACAUCCUUAUUUCUUGAGCAAAUAUCUCUCAUGUUUCCUAUUUUCGGAUUUUUCCUUCAUUUCAAGAUUUAAUCCUAUCUGUUCCUUUUUCUUCAUAGGUUGGCGCAAAGUCGUGAAGCUUAUGUUCGUGGACCGAUCUCUUAUUUCUUUGGGAUAUUCUUGGUUUAAAGUGGGCUAAUUGGAGGGUGUACAGCCCACAUCUCUAACACUCAAUUUGAAAAAUUGUUAUUUUAUUGAAAGACUUGUCGAUGGUGGAAUUGUCGGUUUCAACCUUGAACUCCUAAAUCUGGACACAAAACUUAUUUUUGUACUAUUUCUGAGAAUUACCUAUUUUUAUACAGGGAAAUUUCAAGAAAUUAAUAAUAUCAUAACUAUAAUAUUUAAAAGAGAUUAAAAUCAUGAUAACGAAUCAGGUAAAUGACUUUCUAACCGCUCCCGCUACGGAAAGCAAAGUGAGAGCAGAUUUAUUUAUGAUGCAUACGGAGAAGGCGCCUGGACCAGAUGGUAUGACAGCUUUGUUCUUUCAAAAAGGUUGGAAUACCAUUAAAUCGGAUUUAAUAUACCCCGUCAAUUCAUUUUUACAACAGGAGGUUUUUGUUAAGAGGUCAAAUAAUACUAAUAUAUGUCUUAUUCCAAAGACGGAGAGACCGACUCGAAUGACGGAACUGAGCCCCAUAAGUCUUUGUAAUGUCGGUUACAAAGUUAUCUCCAAGUUUCUUUGUCAACGACUAAAAACGGUGCUAUCAAAUCUUAUUUCGGAAACACAAUCUGCCUUUGUUGAAGGAUGUUUGAUCUAAGAUAAUAUUCUCGUAGCACAUCAGAUGUUUCAUGGGCUAAGAAUGAUUCAAUGAUGUAAAGGAAAAUUUAUGGCGAUUAAAACGGAUAAGAGUAAAGCAUAUGAUCGAGUCGAAUGAAAAUUAUUGAUCAGUCACUAAAGAAGAUGGGUUUCUAUAAGAAGUGGUUCUCGUGGAUAAUGUGGUGUAUCACGUCAGUCCAAUACAUAGUUCUCUUUAAAAAACAACCUAAAUGACUAAUAGUACCAGAAAGGAGAUUAAGACAUGGAGAUCCACUAUCUCCUUAUUUAUUUAUCCUUUGUACAGAAGCUUUGAUUGCAAACAUUCGGAAAGCAGAACAAGAUAAAUUGAUUACUGGUAUAAAAGUGGUGACAGCAAAUUCCUCGGUUUGUAGAGAGAAAAUGGUAUUGUAUUCAUAAUGUAAAGAUCUUAAUCAAAAAUAGAAAAAAAAUAAUAUUUUAUAUAUUUAUGGCAAAAUAACAAUGCUUAAGUCUAAGAUUUUUGGUAAAAAUGUAGGAUGUCUCCCCCUUUUCUUGGAGUCUUCACUUCUCUUUUAUAGCCACUUUCCUUCUCCUAAAGUGUCAUUACUUGACCAUUAAUCUUAGAAUUAACUCACAAAAUAACUCCCACAAUCAAUUCAUAAAUCUGAAAAGAAAGACAAGUUUACUUCUUUGACCAUAGUCAUUAAUUCAUGAAUUAAACUACAAAUUAAUGUCAAGAUUUGACUACGUUUUUUGUGCAACAUGGACUUCCUUGGGCUUGUAAAUCGACGGGCCUCCAAAGCACUAAGUGAUCCAGUGGGCUGGAUCCGGUAUCAACAGAGGUGUUGAUUAAAUCGGUAGCUAUGCAUUACCAAUUUAUGUUAUGUCAAUUUUUAGACUACCAAAAACAAUCACUUCCAAACUUACAAGUACAUUAGCAAAAUUUUGGUCGAGCUCCAAUGGUCAGUCAAAGGGUAUGCAUUGGAUGAAUUGGAAUAAACUAUGUAUUGGUAAAUCGGAAGGUGGGCUUGGGUUCCGAAGUGUGGAUGACUUUAAUUCGGCCCGAUUAGCAAAACAAUUAUGGAAAUUAAUUACGGUUCCUGAUUCGGUUUUUGCGAAGGUUUUCAGAGGACGGUAUUUUCGAAAAUCCAAUCCCCUGGACCAAAUAAAAUCUUACUCUACAUCUUAUGGAUGGAAAAUGUAACGCCCCGACCGCCAUCUCUCUUAAUGGACCCCACGUCUUCUCUCAGCCCGUGGGCCCACCAUCUUCCGACGGCCGGUCCGCUACGUCCGGGAAGCUUUAAAGACUUGUUUACCGACCCUACAAAUCACCACAUGAUCUUUCCCUGUGUUUUGUCCUCACUCACACAGUUCCGAUAAUCACUUCUCGGAAAGUCACCCAUCGUGAAAUUGCUCCAGCUUAAGCAUGCUUAAUUGUGGAGUUCUCUCAGGACAGUUGACCAAAAAGAUAAGUGCACUUUAGUGACAUAGGUGGCCAAAUCGAUUCUUUUAAACCUCUCCGCAUGCACCACCAUAUUCUUAAUUUUUAAAGAGAGAUCCUAUUUAUUUCUUUUAAAUUAAUAUUUUUAAUUCUUGAUUUUUGAUUCUUAAUUUUUAAUUCUUAAUUUUUAAUUACUAAAAUGUAUUUAAAUGAGAUUUUAACUGUUUAAUUGAACUGUUGUAACAUUUGGUUUAUUUGACGAAUCAUUGCAAAUUUUGGUUUUGUUUACAAACCAUUGUAAUCUUUAGUAUAUAUGAUGAACCAUUGCAAGAUGUGGUAUAUUUGACGAAUCGUUACAAAUUUUGGUAUAUUUGAUAUCUACGGUAGCGUCUCUUGGUUAAAGUUCGUCAUAUUUUAAAACAAAUAUUUAAUUAUUAAAAUCUAUAUAUAUAUAAUGGGAGAGUUUUCUCUCCUCUUAAGGUGUCCACAUCAUCAUGUUAAACAUCCAAUUAAAAAAAGCCAUGUCAUUACUCAAUAUCUUCUAAUUUUUACAUUAAAGUCUAAUUACAAUGUUCAUCUAAUUCAUAUUUAUUUAUCUUGAUGUUAGUUAUAAUUAAUAGAAAUUUAAUUAAAUAAAAAUGAAUUAAAUGUAACAAAUCAAAUUUUAAAAUAGUAUAUGUAAUACUAUGAAAUUUUUAUUAGUAAUAAUAAUAUAAUUCAACUUUUAACAAUAAAAAAUUAAAAUGAUCAUACUUCAAAUUUUUGAAUGUGUUAAUUAGUUUUAGAAUGGAAGUCAAAUUUAAGUGCAUGGUAGAGUAAAUGUUUUUUUACGUAAUUGUGUUUCUACAAUUUUAAAGAGAAAAAUAAAAUUUAAAUUGAAACAUUAAUUUAUAAGAGCAAUAUACUACAAGAUUUUUUCUUUAUUAUUAAAUGUUCACCUAAGAAAAAAUUACUAAACUCAACCAAGUCGCCUUGGUCUAGUGGUAAAUGAUAGAAAAGUGAUUCUCGAUGGUGGUCCAAAGCUCUCGUGCGGUGCACUUCGUCUUCAAGACUGAUUUGAGGAGAGAUUCAGAUAUAGUGCCAUAGAUCCACAUCUUGAUGGUGCCGUCGGUUUGUGACCAUUGUGUGUCUGUUGGGCCAGUGGGAACCGAUGUGCCGUCGAGAUGGCCAAGAACUGUGAAGCUAUGACAGUGAGUUUCGAAAAGUUCACGCCAAAUAUCAUAAUUCAUUUGGUUCAUAUCCAAAAUGAUUGGGAUAUGAGCUUUGAUUUGAGUGAGGCUUAGGAUACGAUCGGUGGUGGCUAGAGCAGGAGGAUUAGGGGCUGCCAUGGUUUGUCACAAAAAAAAAAAAAGUAAGAAAUGAGAAAGAGCAGAGGGAUUAGUAGGAGAGAGAAGAGAAAAACAGAACAAGAGACUCGUGAGAUAAAAGGAGAAACAGAGAGGGUUUUUAGAAGAUAACAGAGAAAAGAGAGAAAAGAAAAUUUUGAGAGGGAGGCGGCUGGUUAGAGUACUAGCUCUGAUACCAUGUUUGAUUAGGUUAAUCCAAUCGAUGAUCGGAGCUAUAGUAUUGAUGUGAAUAUAUAACAGAGAUUGUACAAGAGAGCCGUUAAGGCUAUUAACUAAGCUUUCCUAAUAUACACAAACGUAUAUUUGUAUUCCUAUUCUAUUAUCCGUCACCUGGGUUCGAGUAGCAUUGGCUACCGGGGUUCGAAUUCUAACAUGGUUUCUCCGGGCCCCAGGAUUAGUCUUUGGGUCUAGAAAACCUUUAGGAUCACCUGAGUUAUCAAAAAAAAAAAAAAUUACUAAACUCAACUUAAAAUUUUCAUUUAAGACAAAGACAUUAAAAGAGAGUCACACUUUUUUGUGAAACUAUAGAAAGAAAUCGAUGACAAAGAUAAAAUAUAGAAACAAAUCAUGAAAAUUCAAAAACUUUAUAAUCUAUCUUUUAGAAAAUUAAUAAUAACAAUGGUUAUAUUAUUCAUGAAUUGUAUAACAAAACAUACAUAAAGUGAUAUGUAAGUUGUUAACAAAAAAAGUGAUAUGUACGUAAAUCAAAUGUUUUUUAACCCAAAAAAUUGGUGAAAAAAGCAUAUUUAAAUUGUAUAUUAUGUUUUUAUUUGACAAAACGAUGUUAAAGUUGCAUCACAAGAUUAAUAACUCAAAAUAACAAAAACGGUAAGCCAAAUAGUGGUUUGAAAUCACAAAAUAUGGUAGGCUAAAGAGUGGUUUGAAAUCUUAAUGACACUAUUACAGAUGAAGAUGAGUCACCUUAUUUAAGUGUUUUGAAAACAAAAAAAAAGACUAUAAUAUUUUCAUAGAAACUUUUUUAAGUGUAUUUAAACAUUAGAUUAUGCAAUCUAUAAAAUUUUCAUAGAAAUUGUCUAAAAAUAUCAAAUAUACAUUUUUUAUAUAGAUAUUAGUCAAAUUUUUAACAUUUAGAGUUAUAUUCAGCUGUUAUAAUUAUAAAAUUUUGACUUCUAUAAAAACAUAAUAUAUUACUAAACCCAUACAACGCAUGAGUCAUUUUCUAGUAUAUUUAAUUGAAUUGUUGCUACCUUUUAAUUUAACAUAGUAACAUUUGGUUUAUUUGACGAACCAAUGAACAUUUUCGCUUAUUUAUCAAACCAUUGUAACAUUUGAUCUUUUUUUUUUUUGUCAUCCGUAAUUAAAUAGUGCUCAAAAGAGCCAUUCUUGUGGAAUGUUGUUUACAUAAGUGAUAUGAAGCGGUUCCGUACGAACUUUUCGUGCCAGAUUAUCCGCUUUUACAUUUGCACAACGAGAAAUUAAAGAUAAAGAGAAGGUAGAGAACUCUUCCUUGUCGCUCUGAAAUUCCUCCAGAUACACUGAGAAGGCCGGCCAUUCGGUUGGGGAAGACACCAUCUUCACCAGGUCAGAACAGUCUGUAAGGAAUGCUACCUCUUGAUUAUCUGCACCAAUCAUACACUUCAUCGCCCAAAGGAGUGCCUCGAAUUCGGCAUGUAGCGGAGAUAGGCUUCUACGGAGGUUGGCAGCUCCCAUUGUUGAUGGCUCACCGUUUGAUGGUGUACAAAACCACCCUAUCCCAGAAAACUUGUCGCUGUCUUUCCAGGAUCCAUCCACAAAACAACGGUAUCCUGUAAAAUCCGAAUCUAGGGACACCCCCCUCGUUUGAGGCCGAUUUGGAAAUUCCACUGAAGCCGGAGUUUCAGUAUGAAGCUCCACUUGAGCUGAGUGCCACAAUUGUGCCUCUCUUUCCGCUAACCGUAAAACCUCUAACGGAUCGUUAUCCACAUUUUCAAACAAUUUUUCAUUCCGUGCUUUCCAAAUAUACCAAAUAAUCCAAGGAAAAGCUAUAGAAUCAAACUCCGAUGGUAUUCUCCAAAAUAAAUGAUCCAAGUUUGCAAAAAUAGAAUCUGUGGGAAAAGUCCCCAUUACCGUAGGAAUCUGAGAAAGUGCCCAAACCUGUCUUGCUGGAUGGCACUGAAAGAGUGUGUGAUUGACUGUUUCCUCCAGUGCACCACAUCUGGCAAAACCACUGUCACAAUCAAUUCCUCUUUUUCGUAAGUUCUCUGUAACCGGUACACAACCCGUUAAGAUUUGCCAUAAAAAAUGACGUAUCCUAGGUGGACACUGUACUUUCCAAGUAUGAGCCUUUAACAUAUUGAAAUCUGGCCCAAUGAAAGAUGAGUUGGUCUCCAACUUAUCCAACCGUGCGGUAUGAUACCCCGACUUAACUGAAUAUUUGCCGGAUAUUGUAAAAUGCCAACCCAAGGUGUCCUCCUUGGUUGGCGCACCCACCGGUAGGGCACUUAUUAACUCGAUAUCUUCCUGGUCAAAGACCGCUUUGAGGAGAUCAAUGUCCCAAAAAUUAGAUCGACUAUCUAUAAGCAUGUUAACUUUUAAAGAUGGGUCAUUAAUAGAUCCAUUACUUUUUGCUGGUCUCAGAAAUUGAGCUGGAAUCCACGGAUCCUCCCAAACUGAGAUGGAAUUCCCAGAUCCGACUCUUUUAAUAAGUCUUUUAUUAACCAGAGAUCUAGCUGAGCAUAUACUCCGCCACCCAUACGAUGGGGAAUAUGACUUUAUAUUUUCCAAAGGAUUGGAUUUCCUAUAAUACCGCCCUUUAAAAACCCUCGCAAAGAGAGAAUCCGGAACCGUGAUCAACCGCCACAACUGUUUUGCAAGUAAGGCCGAAUUAAAAUCAUCGACGUUUCGAAAUCCUAUCCCUCCUUCCGAUUUAUUAAUACAUAAUUUAUCCCAAGCCAUCCAAUGCAUACCUCUUGAGGCACCAUUCGAGCUCCACCAGAAAUUAGCAACCGCACUAGUGAGUUUAGAAGUGAUUGUUUUCGGUAGUCUGAAGCACGACAUAACAUAAGUUGGUAAUGCCGCAGCUACCGAUUUAAUCAUCACUUCUUUCCCACCUUUUGAUAAAAAAUUUGCCGACCAUCCGUUAAUCCUUGUCUGUAACCUGUCUCUAACAAAAGAGAAAUUUUUUGUUUUUGAACCACCGAGACUUUCUGGCAACCCAAGAUAUGAACCCAUACCACCAAUAUUAGUGAUACCUAAGGUAGAUUUGAUAUCUUCCUUCACACCGUCAUCUACCUUAUGCCCAAACUGGAUUGAAGAUUUGGAAUAAUUUAUUUGUUGUCCCGAGACCGCUUCAUAUUGCUUUAAGAUCCCCAAGAUUACCCCACACUGAUCCUUGUUAGCCUUACAAAAAAAUAGACUAUCAUCCGCAAAAAGCAGGUGAGAAACCGAUGGGCUUGCAGUUGCCACCUUGAUACCCGUAAUUAAUUUAUCCCGUUCUGCUUUCCGUAUGUUCGCAAUUAAUACUUCAGUACAAAGAAUAAAUAGAUAAGGAGACAGCGGAUCUCCUUGCCGUAAACCCCUCUCUGGUACUAUUAGUCCUCGAGGUUGUCCAUUAAGAAGAACCCUAUAUUGGACAGUACAGAUACACCACAUUAUCCAACUAAUCCAUUUUUCACAAAACCCCAGUUUGGUUAAAACUUUUUCAACGAAAAUCCAUUCCACUCUAUCAUAAGCCUUACUCAUGUCAGUUUUAAUUGCCAUGAAUUUUCCUUUACAUGAUGGGUUAGUUCGUAACCCAUGGAACAUCUCUUGUGCAAUAAGAAUGUUAUCCGAAAUUAACCGUCCUUCUACAAAAGCUGAUUGUGUUUCCGAGAUCAGUUUUGGUAGUACUGUCUUUAGUCUUUGGCAAAGAAUCUUUGAUAUAAUCUUGUAACCAACAUUGCAGAGACUAAUAGGUCGUAGUUCCGUCAUCCGAGUCGGUCUUUCCGUUUUUGGAAUAAGACAAAUAUUUGUCGUAUUUAACCGUUUGUCAAAAUUCCCAUCCUCUAAAAAAGAAUUAACCAAACAUAAAAGAUCUACUUUAAUGGUAGCCCAUGCUUUCUGAAAAAACAAAGCCGUCAUACCAUCUGGCCCCGGUGCCUUCUCCGGGUGCAUCAUAAAAAGUGCUGCUCUCACUUCAUCCUCUGUUGCCGGGGCUAUUAAAAAAUCAUUAAUCUGAUCUGUGAUCAGACUUUGUACUUCUUCCAACGCAUCCUCAAAAACCUCAGGUUUUGUUGUAGUGAAUAAAGUCUUAAAGUAGGAAACCACUAUAUUUUGAACCUCUUUAUCUUCCGUUGACCAUGUCCCAUUCUCAUCAUGUAAACCCGUGAUUCGAUUCCUCGCCCGUCUCUGCUUCGUUAAAGCGUGAAAAUAUUUUGAGUUAUUGUCCCCUAAUUGCAUCAAAGAGCUUCUGCUUUUCUGGUGCCAAUACAAUUCCUCGUCCCGAUAGGCCUCUUUCAACCGCAAUGUUAAAUCCGUAAUUUCUUCCCGUGAUCGCCUAUCGUCUCUUUGCGCCGCAUAUAGUUCCGAUUUAAAUCUUCAAUCGUUUGCCGACCAUAGGGAGUCAACUCUCGUCGCCAUUGCGAAAUAGCUCGCCGGCAAUUAGUCAACUUUUCCACAAAUUUCCCGUCGCCUGGUUCAGAAUCAAAAUUCCAACCAUCUGCAAUUGUCUCCAGUAAACCUUCUUUCCCUAUCCACCUUUUGUCAAACCUGAAACUAUGUUUCCCGCGUGGCAUCUUAUCCGCAAUCGUAGCUAAGACCGGUGAAUGGUCAGAAGCUACCAUUUGUAAAUAUUCUACAAAUGUGUUGCAGAAUAAUUCAUGCCAAUCUUCAUUCGCUAGAGCCCGAUCUAGACGACAUCGUAUUGGUUUUUUAUCCCGCCACCCCCGCCAAGACAACCAAUCGCCGAUAUAAGGAAAUUCCAGAAGACCACAAUUUUGAAUCAUUAGAUUAAACGGAAUAAAAGAAGACGCGUGUCUUAAUUUACCCCCUCGCUUUUCAUGAUUUCCAGUUAAUUCGUUAAAAUCACCAAUUAAAAACCACGGAGAAUCCCGAGAUAAACCGGUUCUAGUUAACCGCUCCCACACUUGUUCCCGCUUACUAGGAACCGGGUCUCCAUAAACAAAAGUGAGAUAAAUUACUUUGCCCUUAUAGUUUGCUUCAAUAUCGAUCACACGAUUACUUGCAAAUAAAACCAAAACAUGAUAAUCAUUAUUAAAAAAAAGGGCUAAACCGCCACUACAACCAAUAGGAUCCACCGUUUUAAAAUUUUUAUAACCAAAGUGACCUACAAAUUUUUCCAUAAAAGAAGAGGAUUGUUUAGUUUCCGACAGAAAUAAAAAAUCCGGCCUAUGUUGCUUCCACAAAUCCCGAAGAUACCCAAUUGUUGCCUUAUUUCCUAACCCUUGACAAUUUCAACUUAAAACUUUCAUUUAUUAUCAACCUUUCGAUUAAGUGGGUUGCGUCCACCUGUUAAUCCCUUCACCGUGCCAUGGUGCGUCGGGUUAUGCCCUUCAUUCCCUUGAUUAUUUCUUAGAGAAACCAAAUUACAAUUGACCAUUGAUAUUCUUACCCUUAAAGUAUCCACAUCCAACCAUGAAAAACCAGAAAUCAAACUGUUGUAAAAACGUUUGUUACAACCAAUGAAACUCCACUCGAUACACUCAAAAUCCAAAAUCAACCGACCCACAUCAUAACUUUCAGAAAUAUUCCGACCACCCACAAUAGCCCAUGGAAGAGUACUCAAAGCCCUCCUUCUCCUAUCACCGGAAAACCAUCUGUUAAAAACUCCUUCAUCUGACCUUCUCUCCUCAAUCGUUUUCAACCGAAAACCUCUUUGAUCCGCAGUCCAAGACCAAACUGCAGCUGAAACAAUCUCAAAUUCCAAUAACAACACCUCCCUAUCCACAAUAUAUAUUCCACCGAAGCUCAAACCCAAAAACUCAAACCCCAAAUACAACCGGAAAAAAAACCAUUUUUUUUUUUUUUUCGAUUACAACCUCCAUUUCAUCAGCUAUUACAUGGUUAGUAAACAUACCUCCCUCAAUCAAGAGGGCAUCAUUCUUUACAUUUACUACCUCCAAAAAUUCUCUGGUUACUAAAAGAUUUCCAAAUAAAACAAAACCAAUACACAUGCUUAUGCUUUGAGCUCUUUUAUUUAUGAAAGCUCUUGAUACGCUUCCUUUAAGUAUCCAAAACAUCACCUCUGUGCCUUGUAUACAUACCCUAAAUGCAGCCGGAUCAAGGAGAUAUGAUCUGGAUCUAUCUAAAGACUCAAUCUCUUGGAAAUCCGGGAACCAAAACCAAAUUUCCAAAACCAUAAUUCUUUGAAAUACAAAAACCCUCCGCACUGCCAUCGUAACCCAGCGAUUUCUCAUCUUUAGAACAAUCUCAAUCCUCUCUUGAAUCACCAGAAACAAGGAUUCGAACUUGUUAUCUAAAGAUUCAGCCACUGAAAUUUCCGUCCUAGCUAUCCGAGAUACUCGCAACCUUGAAUCCAGAUCAUCCCCAUGACCCAACCGAUAAGAAUUAACCACCAAAUCCAAUCUCCUUGUGAAGAUUGUUCUCAAAUCCACUAUUUCUUCCCCAAAUCGAACCCAGAUAUGAAGACAUCGUUGGGUUCUUAUCACCCACGACCAACCUCCUAAUUUUGUCCAAAAAAGAACCUUCCAAAACCCAUUACGGAGCUCUCUCAAUCUCCCCUCUCCCUCACCGUCACCUGAUUGACCAAAGAUUAAAGCCUCAUAGACAAACCCCUCAAAAAACCAAAGCAAAACCGUAAGAAACCAAACCGAAGACAUCUCAAAACCCUAGAUCCGCCGUCGUCCAGCCAUCGCGAUUAAUACCAAAGUGUUUUUACUUUGUUUUUUCUUUUUUCUUUUAUUUUUAUUUGUCCAUUGUAACAUUUGAUCUAUUUCAUGCCUUUUAAAUAUUGGAAUAUUUUUUAGUUACAAAUUAAUGUUUUUCUAAUACUAAUAUACUUAACAAUGCUUGUGAGAG